rnacentral:rRNA from 1 species
AUUGAACGCUGGCGGCAUGCCUUACACAUGCAAGUCGAACGGUAACAGGUCUUCGGAUGCUGACGAGUGGCGAACGGGUGAGUAAUACAUCGGAACGUGCCUAGUAGUGGGGGAUAACUACUCGAAAGAGUGGCUAAUACCGCAUGAGAUCUACGGAUGAAAGCAGGGGAUCGCAAGACCUGGUGCUACUAGAGCGGCCGAUGGCAGAGUAGGUAGUUGGUGGGAUAAAAGCUUACCAAGCCGACGAUCUGUAGCUGGUCUGAGAGGACGAUCAGCCACACUGGGACUGAGACACGGCCCAGACUCCUACGGGAGGCAGCAGUGGGGAAUUUUGGACAAUGGGCGCAAGCCUGAUCCAGCAAUGCCGCGUGCAGGAUGAAGGCCUUCGGGUUGUAAACUGCUUUUGUACGGAACGAAAAGCCCUGGGUUAAUACCCUGGGGUCAUGACGGUACCGUAAGAAUAAGCACCGGCUAACUUCGUGCCAGCCGCCGCGGUAACAC